UACGUAGGGGGCAAGCGUUGUCCGGAAUCAUUGGGCGUAAAGAGCGCGUAGGCGGCCCGGUAAGUCCGCUGUGAAAGUCAAGGGCUCAACCCUUGAAUGCCGGUGGAUACUGUCGGGCUAGAGUCCGGAAGAGGCGAGUGGAAUUCCUGGUGUAGCGGUGAAAUGCGCAGAUAUCAGGAAGAACACCCGUGGCGAAGGCGGUUCUCUGGGACGGUACUGACGCUGAGACGCGAAAGCGUGGGGAGCAAACAGG
rnacentral:rRNA from 1 species